AGUUUGGUUUGCCAUUUGGCAAUUAAAACGGGAAGUUUGGUGCAGAGAGUUUUAUUAUUAUUAUUAUUUUUAAACCCUCUCUAAUUCCGACACUGUCCUCGCAACUGUAAGCAGAGAGCGAUCGCACAUAUAGUCACUGUCUUAAUGAAUGGGAAGACGUGCGCAUCGCAAAGACCUGUAAGUCAGGAGACCUGCCAAAUAA
rnacentral:ncRNA from 1 species